rnacentral:lncRNA from 1 species
GAAUAGGUCGGGCGUUGUGGCUCAUGCCUGUAAUCCCAGCACUUUGGUAGGAUGAAGUGGGCAGAUCACCUGAGGUCAGGAGUUCAAGACUAGCCAACAUGGCAAAACCCAUCUCUACUGAAAAAAAAAAAAAAAAAUUCAAAACCAGUAUUAUACUUCAUAAAGGAAAUUCCAAAACCUCCUUAACUGGUUGUUUCUUUCACAAAAGUUACUCUACACACGUGCCCCAAAAUUAAGAUUUCAAAGACAUUGGGGAAAAUACUACUACUAAGAUAUCAAAACCAGGAACUUACUUCCUUUAAAACAAUUCCAAACUAACUCGCUGUGCCUUUCACAGAAAUUUCCCACAAUAAAUAUGAUUUUAUAAAGCCUGAGAAGUUGCUUCUGUUAGGACAACCACCAAACCUAAAAAUUGGGUUUAAUUAGCAACAACAACAAAAUGCCAUUUUAACUGGCUGUCCUUAUCAGAGACAGUCCACUAAAUAAUACAAUUGGCAAAAAGUGAGAUUUGUUAAGGGUUGGGGUGCUUUAUCACGAACAUUAUAUAAACCAGGAAUGUAUUUUAUUUAAUAAACUUCAACCUGCCGGUCACUCCCUCCCUUCGAGGCGUUCUGCAACAAAACACCUGCCUAGAAAUAAAAAGGGCGUUUUACCCGAGUGGGAUGAAAAAGCCCCGUUUUUACCUUUAAUCUCGAGACAAUACGGGUCAGAGGUCAAGAAACUGUGUCAGCGACAGCGAGGGCGUCCGUGAGUCCGGUGGACUAAUGGGGAUGGGCCGGGACGCAGCCCAGGUCCCAGUUCCCGCCCUGGCGAUGGCCGAUUUCAUACCUGAGGACGAUGAAGGCGAGGACUAAACGCCGCUGACCCUCCGGCGUCCCAUGUCCAGCGGGUGCUACAGCCCCCGCUUGGGUGGAACAGCCCAAGACUGCGGAACCACACUUGCCACUGCGAACCUGCACACCAUCUGCACACCCAGCCUGUUCUGGGAUUCCGGAAACGCGAAGGCGGGCUUCCGGAAACGGUGACCAGUGGGAAACGCGAUCAGAUGUGACUAGGCGGACAGUCCGUUUCCAGCCAACACAGAAGGAAGGGACGCUUUCAGUCAGCCUCAAAUAGACGGAGCUUUCAGCCAAUGGAUGUGCAGGUUUGCUCCACAUUAGCCAAUAAGAAGUGCUUGGGGCCGACCUGCCUACAAGCGCAGCAAAAGCUUUCCUCCGCGUAUCUGCGGUGGAAUGCCUACCCGCGCGCCAAACCCAAACUUUGCAGUCAGUUUGGUGCUGUUUCCUACACUUUCAUGGAGAUUUGCAGCAGGCGCAGGAGACCCUCCCACCUGGCCCAUGCCCUCCGCCCGGUGAACACCGAGACCCAACCUUGUUCACCGCCAGUCCCAGUCUUGUGAUCAACAAACAGGCUAGUAAAUUAUAAAAAUUAAAAAUAGGCCGGGCGCGGUGGCUCAAGCCUGUAAUCCCAGCACUUUGGGAGGCCGAG